rnacentral:lncRNA from 1 species
GACAUGGUGGGGGCAGCCAGGAACGGUGUGCCAGGGGGAGGAACAGCUUGAGCAAAGGUGCAGAGAGGAGACAGGCAAAGAGAACCACAUGUGACAUGGUGGGACAUGCCGGAAUCUUCCAGAGAGAAGCAAGGUCUCGCUGUGUUACCCUGGCUGGAGUGCAGUGGCUACUUACAGGCAUGAUCAUAGCAUACUGCAGCCUCGAACUCCUGGACUAGAGCAGUUCUCCUGCCUCAGCCUCCAGAGCAGCUGGGACUGCAGACACGCACCACAGAGCCCAGCCUGAGUCAUUUUGAUUCUGUAACUGGCUUCCUCUCGGCGGGCAGGCUCACACCCUCCACCCCCAGCUGGAGAUGGAAGGAGGAUGCUCACCGCCCAUUCCUCAUGCAGGCCAUCGAUGGAAAUGUCAGACAGUGCGAGUCCACGCCUGAACACUUCUGGGGUCCGCUCUGGGACUGACACUGGCAGA